rnacentral:rRNA from 1 species
UGGUGCCAUGCGAAAAACAUGUGGAUCGUGGGCUAUGUGACCCCUCUGUGGGGGGUAUUUUGUCGCGAACUUGGAGAUUUGGCUGAUGGAUAUAUUAUAUAGAUAAACAAAAUACAACUCUUAGCAAUGGAUAUCUUGGUUCCCACAACGAUGAAGAACGCAGCGAAAUGCGAUACGUAAUGCGAAUUGCAGAAUUCAGUGAAUCAUCGAAUCUUUGAACGCAAGUUGCGCUUUCGAGAGCCCUCGGAAGCAUGCCUC